GCCGGUGAUGAUAUCUUUUUAAUAUGGUUGACUGAAAAAGCAAGCUUUUAUGCUUGCAUUUGUUGAAAAUCAUGAACUAGGACGGUCUGAGGC